GAACUGCGAUAAGUAAUGUGAAUUGCAGAAUUCAGUGAAUCAUCGAGUCUUUGAACGCACAUUGCGCCCCCUGGCAUUCCGGGGGGCAUGCCUGUCCGAGCGUCAUUGCUGCCCUUCAAGCCCGGCUUGUGUGUUGGGUCGUCGUCCCCUCCGGGGGACGGGCCCGAAAGGCAGCGGCGGCACCGCGUCCGGCCCUCGAGCGUAUGGGGCUUUGUCACCCGCUCGAUAAGGACCGGCCGGGCGCCAGCCGGCGUCUCCAACCUUUUUUUCUCAGGUUGACCUCGGAUCAGGUAGGGAUACCCGCUGAACUUAAGC
rnacentral:misc_RNA from 1 species